rnacentral:rRNA from 1 species
AGCGAACGCUAGCGGCAGGCCUAACACAUGCAAGUCGAACGGAUCCUUCGGGAUUAGUGGCGGACGGGUGAGUAACACGUGGGAACGUGCCCUUUGGUUCGGAACAACUCAGGGAAACUUGAGCUAAUACCGGAUGUGCCCUUCGGGGAAAGAUUUAUCGCCAUUGGAGCGGCCCGCGUAUGAUUAGCGAGUUGGUGAGGUAAAGGCUCACCAAGGCGGCGAUCAGUAGCUGGUCUGAGAGGAUGAUCAGCCACAUUGGGACUGAGACACGGCCCAAACUCCUACGGGAGGCGGCAGUGGGGAAUCUUGCGCAAUGGGGGAACGCCUGACGCAGCCAUGCCGCGUGGAUGAUGAAGGUCUUAGGAUUGUAAAAUUCUUUCACCGGGGACGAUAAUGACGGUACCCGGAGAAGAAGCCCCGGCUAACUUCGUGCCAGCAGCCGCCGUAA